rnacentral:rRNA from 1 species
GAUGAACGCUAGCUACAGGCUUAACACAUGCAAGUCGAGGGGUAACAAGAGAAAAGCUUGCUUUUCUUGUUGACGACCGGCGCACGGGUGAGUAACGCGUAUCCAACCUGCCCAUAACUAGGGAAUAACCUUGCGAAAGUAAGACUAAUACCCUAUAAUUUCCUUUGACGGCAUCUGACGAGGAAUAAAGAUUUAUCGGUUAUGGAUGGGGAUGCGUCUGAUUAGCUUGUUGGCGGGGUAACGGCCCACCAAGGCAACGAUCAGUAGGGGUUCUGAGAGGAAGGUCCCCCACAUUGGAACUGAGACAAGGUCCAAACUCCUACGGGAGGCAGCAGUGAGGAAUAUUGGUCAAUGGGCGGAAGCCUGAACCAGCCAAGUAGCGUGCAGGAUGACGGCCCUAUGGGUUGUAAACUGCUUUUAUACAGGAAUAAAGUUAGCCACGUGUGGUUAUUUGUAGGUACUGUAUGAAUAAGGACCGGCUAAUUCCGUGCCAGCAGCCGCGGUAA